rnacentral:rRNA from 1 species
CCUACGGGUGGCAGCAGUGGGGAAUAUUGCACCAUGGGGGAAACCCUGAUGCAGCGAAGCCGCGUGAGUGCAGAAGUAUCUCGGUACGUAAAGCUCUAUCAGCAGGGAAGAAAAUGACGGUACCUGACUAAGAAGCCCCGGCUAACUACGGGCCAACAGCCGCGGUAAUACGUAGGGGGCAAGCGUUAUCCGGAUUUGCUGGGUGUAAAGGGAGCGUAGACGGCAGCACAAGUCUGGAGUGAAAUCCCGGGGCUUAACCCCGGAACUGCUUUGGAAAAUGUGCGGAUGGAGUGCAGGAGGGGUAAGCGGAAUUCCUAGUGUAGCGGUGAAAUGCGUAGAUAUUAGGAGGAACACCGGUGGCGAAGGCGGCUUACUGGACUGUAACUGACGUUGAGGCUCGAAAGCGUGGGGAGCAAACAGGAUUAGAUACCCUAGUAGUC